AUGCCAAGGCUUGAGCACCUGGAGCUGGAGUUCCGUGUGCAUCAGAUGGAUUGCCUGAAUGGUUCUCCCAAUUUCGGUAUCCAACACCUCUCUGCCCUCCGCAAAGUUGAGGUCUGUAUUUUGUGCAACUUUGGCAAUAGAGACAAUCCGUUGGCAGGUUUAGAAUGCUGCUUUGGCAAAUUCAUUGGAAUGAUUAUUGAAGCUGACAUCGAGGCGCUUCCCAAUUGUUCCAGUUUCCUUUUACAAUAUGGAAAUGUACCAUUCGGAAACGUGGCCUGCGAACAUUACACAAAAAUUGUAAGUUCUCUACCAGAAUCGGUAGCAUUUGGUCAUUUCAGUUCGUCCUCUUAG
rnacentral:rRNA from 1 species